GGGGAAAAAUUAAUAAUAAAUAUUUAUAAAAAAAAUUUAUAUAAUUAUUUAAUGGGGGUUAAAGUAUUUAUAUAGAAAAAAUUAUAAAAUUUAUAAAGAAUUAGUAUUGUGAAAGAAAUUUGAAAAAUGUGAAAAUAAAAUUAUAAUAAAGUAAAUUUAAUUUAUUGUAUCUUGUGUAUCAGAGUUUAUUAAAAAAAUAAUUUAGGGAAAUUAAUUUCGAAUUUAAAAGAGAUAAUUAAUUAAUAAAGUUAAUGUGACAUAAUUAUUUUUAAUAAUUAAUUGGAAAUGAUAAGUUAAUCGUUUUUAAAGAUAUCUAGUUUUUUUAGAAAAAAAUUAAAUUUUAAAUUAAUUUUUUGUCAUAAUUAAAUAAUUAAUUAUUACAAAAUUUAAUUAAAUAUUUUAGGGGAUAAGCUUUAAAUUAAAAAUUUAUAAUAAAAUUAAAAGUAAUUGAAAUUUUUAAAAUUUAUAUUUUUUAUAAAUUAUAAUUUUUUAUAAAUAAUUUCAUUUAAUUAAAAUUUUAUGUUAUAUUUAAAUUUUUAUAAAAAUAUAAUUUUUAAUUAAUAAAAAUUAGAAUUAAUGAUAAAAUUAGUAUAUAAAAUUAGAAAUAAAAAAUAAUUUAUUAAUAAUUAAUUGAAAGGAAUUCGGCAAAAAUUUAUAUUCACUUGUUUAUCAAAAACAUGUCUUUUUGGGAAUAAUUUAAAGUCUAAUCUGCCCACUGAAUAAUUUUUAAAGGGCUGCAGUAUAUUGACUGUACAAAGGUAGCAUAAUCAGUAGUCUUUUAAUUGAAGACUUGUAUGAAUGAUUUGAUGAGAUAUAAACUGUCUCUUUUUUAAAAAUAGAAUUUAAUUUUUUAGUUAAAAAGCUAAAAUAUACAUAAAAGACGAGAAGACCCUAUAGAUCUUUAUAUUUAAAUUUUUAGAUUUAUUAUAUAAAAAUUAAAAUUUUUAAAAAUUAAAAUAUUUUAUUGGGGUGAUAGAAAAAUUUAAUAAACUUUUUUUAAAAAUUAAACAUUUAUUUAUGAGUUUUUGAUCCAUAAUUUAUGAUUAGAAGAAUAAGUUACCUUAGGGAUAACAGCGUAAUUUUUUUUUUUAGUUCAAAUAAAAAAAAGAGUUUGCGACCUCGAUGUUGGAUUAAGAUAAAAUUUAAAUGCAAAAGUUUAAAAUUUUGAUCUGUUCGAUCAUUAAAAUCUUACAUGAUCUGAGUUCAAACCGGCGUGAGCCAGGUUGGUUUCUAUCUUUAUAUAAAUAAAAUAAUUUAGUACGAAAGGAUCAAUUAUUUUAAAUAAUUUAAUUUUAUGAAUAUUAUUAAAAGAAAUUU
rnacentral:rRNA from 1 species